rnacentral:piRNA from 1 species
AUAGACACCUGGGCACAAACCAAACU